rnacentral:lncRNA from 1 species
GACGUCAUCUGCAGGCCCUGGAGACGCGACUGCAGUUACCGAGUUUCUAAGGCCUCGUCCCCUGACGGGAAGGCGGCGUUGGGGGGCGGCUGGGUUUACCCUUCGAGAGUCCGUGUGAGAACCGGGACACCUGUCCUGUUGAAAAGGGGGACGCAAAAGCUGAAAAUGCCCGGAAGGAUAUGGCUUCCUUGAACUGCGGGACGUGUAGCUGCAGCUGUGGGGUGGACCAUGGAAACAGGUUUGAAGAGAGAAGCUCUGUUCUUCUUCAUCUCCCGUCAUUGUUCUGAGCCAGUGUUCUGCCUCCUCCCUAGGGAUGAAGUUUGGUAGCAAGGGUCAGAAAAAUUAAAGUUCAAGGUAGGAACUCUCUGCUGAGUGGCAGAUGGCCUUGGGCAGCGAUGAGUAUUACAUUGUUUUCCCUGCGUGUCUUUCCCGUCAGCUCCAUCAGAAGUACCAGGGAGGACUCUGACAGGCCUGGCCUGGGAGUUAGAAAACACCAGGAAAAGGGUUGUUCCCACCUGGAAGAGAAAUGCUAGAGCAACACACCAUCUUCCUCAACAUUAUCAUCUGUCUCUGGAUGACAAUGAAAUUCACAGGACACUGAUUGUCUUUUUAUCCCAUUGGACAUCGUGAUAGUCUACAAUACUGAUAACACCAUGAUGAUAGGAUCUGAAGACCUGGAAGUACCAGAUCAGCAGGAAGAAGAGAUGGAAGCAACGCCAUGGACCUUCACGUCCUUCAGAGUGUGGGUGGGCUUGGGCUUUGCAGUGAGAGCAAGUAUCACCCAGGAUGGAGAUGGGAGGUAAUGGGUGGCCCCGACAGGUGCCUCCUACUGCUGGCAGCAAGGAGAGAGUGAAGAGGCAGAAUUUCCUUGGUCUAGACUAGAGUCUGGGUCAUGGGCAUGGCAGUGCUUGAGCUUUUGACCAGAAGCAAGUGGACAUGGAUUUGAGCUUCGGGUAAGAAGGGAGACUUCUCUCCAGGGACCAUAGGGGCUGGCAGCUGAAGAAGGUGACUUGGCCCCUCUCUAGAGGGUGAACGCAGGAUCAAUUCAAGGCCAUGAAGUGGAUGCAGCUGGGAGAGCCUGCUUGGUGCUUUUAAACCUCAACAUGUCAACCGCAAAUACCUCAAA